rnacentral:misc_RNA from 1 species
GAUGAAGAACGUAGCGAAAUGCGAUAAGUAAUGUGAAUUGCAGAAUUCAGUGAAUCAUCGAAUCUUUGAACGCAUCUUGCGCUCCUUGGUAUUCUGAGGAGCAUGCCUGUUUGAGUGUCAUUAAAUUCUCAACUACACUGACUUUGAAUUGGUGUGGCUUGGAUUUGGGGGGAAAAUUGUUGUGGGCUUUUUGUAUAGUCUGCUCCCCUGAAAUUGAUUAGCGGUACCUUUGUGGAACUGUCUACAGGUGUGAUAAUUAUCUACAUCUUAGACAUCUCCUGGAAUGCUGCUUUCUAAACCUUACUUGUAUUGACAAUCUUGACCUCAAAUCAGGUAGGACUACCCGCUGAACUUAAGCAUAUCAAUAAGCGGAGGA